CAGGGAGCAUACAGAGGAGUUGAUAAAACUCCGUGGGCAAAAUGACCACCUCUUUACCGGGGCCAAAAACACUGCCGCAGUCGGAUGAAGAACAAUCCUGCAAAAAACGGGUCUGGAGGGUGAAGUUGAGCCACAACAGGCCAGAAAAAAGUGGGACAACUUGAAAAAAAAAAAAUACAAAGGAUGUUCAGGAAUGCAAAGAUCCAGGGACAGGGCAGGGGGUCAGUGGGAAGCCUACUGCUGCCACCCGGCCAUGGUUUAUCCUCAGGUUCUGUGUUGCUGUUAUUGUUAAAUUAAAUUAAUAAAUUGUUUAUAAAAGUUA